GGGCUUGGCCUCUCUGGCCGGCGGCGCCAGCUCAUUGAAUAUUUGCAGCAAGAGGAGAUAGACAUUCUCGGUCUUCAAGAGACGAUUUGCCAGUACUUUAGUAUGCACGAGCUCCAGGGGCUCUCUUGCCACCAGUUUGCCUGGCAGUGGUUGCCUGCUAUGGGUCAAUCUGGGGGAAUUUAG
rnacentral:rRNA from 1 species